rnacentral:rRNA from 1 species
GACGAACGCUGGCGGCGUGCUUAACACAUGCAAGUCGAACGGUAAGGCCCUUCGGGGUACACGAGUGGCGAACAGGUGAGUAACACGUGGGUGAUCUGCCCUGCACUUCGGGAUAAGCCUGGGAAAACUGGGUCUAAUACCGGAUAGGACCACUGCCUGCAUGGGUGGGGGUGGAAAGCUUUUGCGGUGUGGGAUGGGCCCGCGGCCUAUCAGCUUGUUGGUGGAGUGAUGGCCUACCAAGGCGACGACGGGUAGCCGGCCUGAGAGGGUGACCGGCCACACUGGGACUGAGAUACGGCCCAGACUCCUACGGGAGGCAGCAGUGGGGAAUAUUGCACAAUGGGCGCAAGCCUGAUGCAGCGACGCCGCGUGAGGGAUGACGGCCUUCGGGUUGUAAACCUCUUUCAGCACCGACGAAGCGCAAGUGACGGUAGGUGCAGAAGAAGGACCGGCCAACUACGUGCCAGCCGCCGCCGUAA